UUCCUCGGCUGUAGGAUAUCCACGCACCUGUCGCCCACCCUGUAAUGUGCCGGUGCCGGGCUAGGGACUGGGUUGGUCCUGCGCCGGGACUCAGCUCCGCGUAGGGCGAAAGGACCCGCGAAGCCGAGCACAGGUUCCGGUGGUGAAGUGCACAGUGGAAAAAGGAUGUAUCGUUUUGGAAUGUUGAGGAGAAGGUUCGAUUCUGGUCAAGGGCACGUACCUGGUUCCUCCGUUGCAGGCUCGAUCCUCGGU